rnacentral:rRNA from 1 species
AACGAACGCUGGCGGCAGGCCUAACAUAUGCAAGUCGAACGAGACCUUCGGGUCUAGUGGCGCACGGGUGCGUAACGCGUGGGAAUCUGCCCUUGGGUUCGGAAUACCAGUUAGAAAUGACUGCUAAUACCGGAUGAUGUCGUAAGACCAAAGAUUUAUCGCCCAAGGAUGAGCCCGCGUAGGAUUAGCUAGUUGGUGAGGUAAAAGCUCACCAAGGCGACGAUCCUUAGCUGGUCUGAGAGGAUGAUCAGCCACACUGGGACUGAGACACGGCCCAGACUCCUACGGGAGGCAGCAGUGGGGAAUAUUGGACAAUGGGCGAAAGCCUGAUCCAGCAAUGCCGCGUGAGUGAUGAAGGCCUUAGGGUUGUAAAGCUCUUUUACCCGGGAUGAUAAUGACAGUACCGGGAGAAUAAGCUCCGGCUAACUUCGUGCCAGCAGCCGCCGUAAAAC